rnacentral:rRNA from 1 species
GAGAGUUUGAUCCUGGCUCAGAUUGAACGCUGGCGGCAGGCUUAACACAUGCAAGUCGAGCGGGGUGAAGUGCUUCGGUACUGAUCCUAGCGGCGGACGGGUGAGUAAUGCUUAGGAAUCUGCCAUUUAGUGGGGGACAACAUUCCGAAAGGAAUGCUAAUACCGCAUACGUCCUACGGGAGAAAGCAGGGGAUCUUCGGACCUUGCGCUAGUAGAUGAGCCUAAGUCGGAUUAGCUAGUUGGUGGGGUAAAGGCCUACCAAGGCGACGAUCUGUAGCGGGUCUGAGAGGAUGAUCCGCCACACUGGGACUGAGACACGGCCCAGACUCCUACGGGAGGCAGCAGUGGGGAAUUUUGGACAAUGGGCGCAAGCCUGAUCCAGCAAUGCCGCGUGCAGGAAGAAG